CUUUAGAGUAGUCAUUCUCUUAAACUAUUUUUAGCAACACCCCUCCCCUUUUUAAAAACUAGUAUACGGCUACAUUUCUUUUAGAUACUAAAUCAGUGAGACAGUUUUUGUUUGUUCUUGCUAAUGGAGGUCAGAUUUUGAGAGUCCUUCUGAGCUUGGAUAACUCAUGAUUGGCGGUGAAAAGGAACGUAAGGCCUCCUCCUUCACCUCAUUACACAUUUUGUCCUACGAUUCUCAGCUAUCGCCAAGCCCAGGCCGCAGUGCUUGCAGUCUUACCCCGCCUCCAUCAGCUCAAAGUCCCUACCAAGCGACCCACUGAUUAUUUUGCGGAAAUGGCCAAAUCUGAUCUGCAGAUGCAGAAGAUUCGACAGAAGCUGCAGACUAAACAGGCUGCCAUGGAGAGGUCUGAAAAAGCUAAGCAACUGCGAGCACUUAGGAAAUACGGGAAGAAGGUGCAAACGGAGGUUCUUCAGAAGAGGCAGCAGGAGAAAGCACAUAUGAUGAAUGCUAUUAAGAAAUAUCAGAAAGGCUUCUCUGAUAAACUGGAUUUCCUUGAGGGAGAUCAGAAACCUCUGGCACAGCGCAAGAAGGCAGGAGCCAAAGGCCAGCAGAUGAGGAAGGGGCCCAGUGCUAAACGACGGUAUAAAAACCAGAAGUUUGGUUUUGGUGGAAAGAAGAAAGGCUCAAAGUGGAACACUCGGGAGAGCUAUGAUGAUGUAUCUAGCUUCCGGGCCAAGACAGCUCAUGGCAGAGGCCUCAAGAGGCCUGGCAAGAAAGGGUCAAAUAAGAGACCUGGAAAACGAACAAGAGAGAAGAUGAAGAACAGAACACACUAAACAGCAUCUUUGAAUACAAAGAACCAAGAAAAAGGAAUGAAGACUCGCAAUUUCACGACACACUUUGAUCCCUUCUGUUGGUGUCAUGUUGUAAACA
rnacentral:sRNA from 1 species